rnacentral:rRNA from 1 species
AGCGUACACGGUGGAUGCCCUGGCAGUCAGAGGCGAUGAAGGACGUGCUAAUCUGCGAUAAGCGUCGGUAAGGUGAUAUGAACCGUUAUAACCGGCGAUUUCCGAAUGGGGAAACCCAGUGUGUUUCGACACACUAUCAUUAACUGAAUCCAUAGGUUAAUGAGGCGAACCGGGGGAACUGAAACAUCUAAGUACCCCGAGGAAAAGAAAUCAACCGAGAUUCCCCCAGUAGCGGCGAGCGAACGGGGAGCAGCCCAGAGCCUGAAUCAGUGUGUGUGUUAGUGGAAGCGUCUGGAAAGGCGCGCGAUACAGGGUGACAGCCCCGUACACAAAAAUGCACAUGCUGUGAGCUCGAUGAGUAGGGCGGGACACGUGGUAUCCUGUCUGAAUAUGGGGGGACCAUCCUCCAAGGCUAAAUACUCCUGACUGACCGAUAGUGAACCAGUACCGUGAGGGAAAGGCGAAAAGAACCCCGGCGAGGGGAGUGAAAAAGAACCUGAAACCGUGUACGUACAAGCAGUGGGAGCACGCUUAGGCGUGUGACUGCGUACCUUUUGUAUAAUGGGUCAGCGACUUAUAUUCUGUAGCAAGGUUAACCGAAUAGGGGAGCCGAAGGGAAACCGAGUCUUAACUGGGCGUUAAGUUGCAGGGUAUAGACCCGAAACCCGGUGAUCUAGCCAUGGGCAGGUUGAAGGUUGGGUAACACUAACUGGAGGACCGAACCGACUAAUGUUGAAAAAUUAGCGGAUGACUUGUGGCUGGGGGUGAAAGGCCAAUCAAACCGGGAGAUAGCUGGUUCUCCCCGAAAGCUAUUUAGGUAGCGCCUCGUGAAUUCAUCUCCGGGGGUAGAGCACUGUUUCGGCAAGGGGGUCAUCCCGACUUACCAACCCGAUGCAAACUGCGAAUACCGGAGAAUGUUAUCACGGGAGACACACGGCGGGUGCUAACGUCCGUCGUGAAGAGGGAAACAACCCAGACCGCCAGCUAAGGUCCCAAAGUCAUGGUUAAGUGGGAAACGAUGUGGGAAGGCCCAGACAGCCAGGAUGUUGGCUUAGAAGCAGCCAUCAUUUAAAGAAAGCGUAAUAGCUCACUGGUCGAGUCGGCCUGCGCGGAAGAUGUAACGGGGCUAAACCAUGCACCGAAGCUGCGGCAGCGACGCUNUAGCUCACUGGUCGAGUCGGCCUGCGCGGAAGAUGUAACGGGGCUAAACCAUGCACCGAAGCUGCGGCAGCGACACUAUGUGUUGUUGGGUAGGGGAGCGUUCUGUAAGCCUGUGAAGGUGUGCUGUGAGGCAUGCUGGAGGUAUCAGAAGUGCGAAUGCUGACAUAAGUAACGAUAAAGCGGGUGAAAAGCCCGCUCGCCGGAAGACCAAGGGUUCCUGUCCAACGUUAAUCGGGGCAGGGUGAGUCGACCCCUAAGGCGAGGCCGAAAGGCGUAGUCGAUGGGAAACAGGUUAAUAUUCCUGUACUUGGUGUUACUGCGAAGGGGGGACGGAGAAGGCUAUGUUGGCCGGGCGACGGUUGUCCCGGUUUAAGCGUGUAGGCUGGUUUUCCAGGCAAAUCCGGAAAAUCAAGGCUGAGGCGUGAUGACGAGGCACUACGGUGCUGAAGCAACAAAUGCCCUGCUUCCAGGAAAAGCCUCUAAGCAUCAGGUAACAUCAAAUCGUACCCCAAACCGACACAGGUGGUCAGGUAGAGAAUACCAAGGCGCUUGAGAGAACUCGGGUGAAGGAACUAGGCAAAAUGGUGCCGUAACUUCGGGAGAAGGCACGCUGAUAUGUAGGUGAGGUCCCUCGCGGAUGGAGCUGAAAUCAGUCGAAGAUACCAGCUGGCUGCAACUGUUUAUUAAAAACACAGCACUGUGCAAACACGAAAGUGGACGUAUACGGUGUGACGCCUGCCCGGUGCCGGAAGGUUAAUUGAUGGGGUUAGCGCAAGCGAAGCUCUUGAUCGAAGCCCCGGUAAACGGCGGCCGUAACUNAGGGUGUGACGCCUGCCCGGUGCCGGAAGAUUAAAUGAUGGGGUGCAAGCUCUUGAUUGAAGUCCCGGUAAACGGCGGCCGUAACUAUAACGGUCCUAAGGUAGCGAAAUUCCUUGUCGGGUAAGUUCCGACCUGCACGAAUGGCGUAAUGAUGGCCAGGCUGUCUCCACCCGAGACUCAGUGAAAUUGAACUCGCUGUGAAGAUGCAGUGUACCCGCGGCAAGACGGAAAGACCCCGUGAACCUUUACUAUAGCUUGACACUGAACAUUGAGCCUUGAUGUGUAGGAUAGGUGGGAGGCUUAGAAGUGUGGACGCCAGUCUGCAUGGAGCCGACCUUGAAAUACCACCCUUUAAUGUUUGAUGUUCUAACGUUGACCCGUAAUCCGGGUUGCGGACAGUGUCUGGUGGGUAGUUUGACUGGGGCGGUCUCCUCCUAAAGAGUAACGGAGGAGCACGAAGGUUGGCUAAUCCUGGUCGGACAUCAGGAGGUUAGUGCAAUGGCAUAAGCCAGCUUGACUGCGAGCGUGACGGCGCGAGCAGGUGCGAAAGCAGGUCAUAGUGAUCCGGUGGUUCUGAAUGGAAGGGCCAUCGCUCAACGGAUAAAAGGUACUCCGGGGAUAACAGGCUGAUACCGCCCAAGAGUUCAUAUCGACGGCGGUGUUUGGCACCUCGAUGUCGGCUCAUCACAUCCUGGGGCUGAAGUAGGUCCCAAGGGUAUGGCUGUUCGCCAUUUAAAGUGGUACGCGAGCUGGGUUUAGAACGUCGUGAGACAGUUCGGUCCCUAUCUGCCGUGGGCGCUGGAGAACUGAGGGGGGCUGCUCCUAGUACGAGAGGACCGGAGUGGACGCAUCACUGGUGUUCGGGUUGUCAUGCCAAUGGCACUGCCCGGUAGCUAAAUGCGGAAGAGAUAAGUGCUGAAAGCAUCUAAGCACGAAACUUGCCCCGAGAUGAGUUCUCCCUGACUCCUUGA